UACGUAGGGUGCAAGCGUUGUCCGGAAUUAUUGGGCGUAAAGAGCUCGUAGGCGGUUUGUCGCGUCGAAUGUGAAAACCCGGGGCUCAACCCCGGGCCUGCAUUCGAUACGGGCAGACUAGAGUUCGGUAGGGGAGUCUGGAAUUCCUGGUGUAGCGGUGAAAUGCGCAGAUAUCAGGAGGAACACCGGUGGCGAAGGCAGGACUCUGGGCCGAUACUGACGCUGAGGAGCGAAAGCGUGGGGAGCGAACAGG
rnacentral:rRNA from 1 species